rnacentral:rRNA from 1 species
UACGUAGGGACCAAGCGUUGUUCGGAUUUACUGGGCGUAAAGGGCGCGUAGGCGGCUUGACAAGUCACUUGUGAAAUCUCCGGGCUUAACUCGGAACGGCCAAGUGAAACUGUCAUGCUAGAGUGCAGAAGGGGCAAUCGGAAUUCUUGGUGUAGCGGUGAAAUGCGUAGAUAUCAAGAGGAACACCUGAGGUGAAGACGGGUUGCUGGGCUGACACUGACGCUGAGGCGCGAAAGCUAGGGUAGCAAACGGG